UAUUUGUUGAAUGUACGUUAUUGAACAUAGAAGAAAACUCCGAUUUGGACUGUAGGCCAGUAAUAAAACCUGGAUGAAAAGCAGGUGAAUGAGCACAGCCAGGCAAGAGCAGAGCUCAGCUGUCUUUUAAAAAGAAGACAUGUCUUAAGAAGGAGCAAUCUGCAAGCCAGCCAGAAGCAAAGAUGCCAUUGAUUGACCUGUGGAAAGCGCUCCUGUUAAUCCACUGCUAGAUGCAUUCUAAGAAUGGCAACUGCAUUAUUCAGCCAUGGAAGAACUCCACUUGGAGGGAGUCGUGAUAAAUCAGAGCAUCAGCCCUUUCCGCUUGGACACCAAUAAGUCCUGCACUUCAAAAUUGCUGACCUAAAAAGGAUGCUCGAGAAGGAGCAAGUUUUUUUUUUUUUCGUGGUAAAGAAAGCAACACCAGAAGCAGUGUGACUUCCUUGUUCACUUAGAUGCAUGCAAAAAAGAAAAGUUCACUGUCUUUGCUUCAGGACCUUCUUCCUUCCACCCUCACAGCGUGUGCCUGUGGACUGCCUGCUGAGGAACAUCCUACUGAGAAGAACUUCCAGAUCAUUCAGUGAGAUGGUAGCAGAAAGGAACCAAGGUGAAAAGAGAGGGGUGGUGUGGGGAACUUCCCUGGCGAUCCAGUGGUUAAGACUCUUGUUCCACUGCAACAGGUGUGGGUUUGAUCCCUGGUUGACUGAAUGGCAUGGCCAAAAAGCAAAAAUAAAAAAAGAUGA